UAGUGGCGGAAGGGUUAGUAAUACAUGGAUAAUCUGCCCUUUACUUUGGGAUAACAGUUGGAAACGACUGCUAAUACCGGAUGAGGUGGGGGUAAUUAAAUUUACCUUUAUCAAAGUGGGGGUUAAAGAGACCUUGCGGUUAAAGAGGGGCCCAUGGGAUAUCAGCUUGUUGGUGAGGUAAUGGCUCACCAAGGCUAAGACGUCUAGGCGGAUUGAGAGGUCGACCGCCAACACUGGGACUGAGACACUGCCCAGACUCCUACGGGAGGCUGCAGUCGAGAAUCAUUCACAAUGGGCGAAAGCCUGAUGAUGCGACGCCGUGUGAGCGAAGAAGGCCUUAGGGUUGUAAAGCUCUUUCGCCAGGGAACAAGGGAGAUUGAUUAAUACUCAGUCAACUUGAGCGUACCUGGUAAAGAAGCACCGGCUAACUCCGUGCCAGCAGCUGCGGUAAUACGGAGGGUGCGAGCAUUAAUCGGAUUUACUGGGCGUAAAGAGCGCGUAGGCGGGAAUGAAAGUCAGAUGUGAAAGCCCGGAGCUCAACUCCGGAAUUGCAUCCGAAACUUCAUUUCUUGAGGACAGGCGGAGAAGGCGGAAUUCCACGUGUAGCGGUGAAAUGCGUAGAUACGUGGAAGAACACCGGUGGCGAAGGCGGCCUUCUAGCUUGUUCCUGACGCUGAGGCGCGAAAGCAAGGGGAGCAAACAGGAUUAGAUACCCUGGUAGUCCUUGCCGUAAACGAUGCAUACUUGGUGUAGGCGGAAUCAACCCCGCUUUUGCCGGAGCUAACGCGUUAAGUAUGCCGCCUGGGGAGUACGCUCGCAAGGGUGAAACUCAAAAGAAUUGACGGGGACCCGCACAAGCAGUGGAGCAUGUGGUUUAAUUCGAUGCAACGCGAAGAACCUUACCCAGAUUUGACAUAUAGUGGACCGCGCUAGAGAUAGCGUUUCUCGUAAGAGCUGCUAUACAGGUGCUGCAUGGCUGUCGUCAGCUCGUGCCGUGAGGUGUUGGGUUAAGUCCCGCAACGAGCGCAACCCUUAUCAUUAGUUGCCAGCACGUAAUGGUGGGAACUCUAGUGAGACUGCCUAGGUUAACUAGGAGGAAGGUGAGGAUGACGUCAAGUCAGCAUGGCCCUUAUGUCUGGGGCUACACACGUGCUACAAUGGUCGGUACAGAGGGCAGCGAAACCGCGAGGUCAAGCAAAUCUCAGAAAAUCGAUCUCAGUUCGGAUAGUAGUCUGCAACUCGACUACAUGAAGUUGGAAUUGCUAGUAAUGGCGUGUCAGCAAUAACGCCGUGAAUACGUUCCCGGGCCUUGUACACACCGCCCGUCACAUCAUGGAAGUUGGUUUUACCCGAA
rnacentral:rRNA from 1 species